AUUGUAUUCGUCUUUUGUAUUGUUUUUCUUUCGUUAUUUUUUCUUCUUGUUUUCUUUCUUUCAGUUUUUGUUCCUUUAUCUGUAGAAGUAAGUAUUAAUAUUUCUAUAAUCUAGUACUGUCAUAUGUUUAAAUAAAUGAAAUAAUGAUAAAAGUUUAUUGUUUGUGUAGUUAUCCAAGAUGUGGAAUUUGUUGAUAUCACUCUACUUUCAAGUGAUCGAUUCGAAUUCAGAAUUAAAGAUCUUGAACCUGCUUCAAAUUCAGAAAAGUACAAAGGACGGAAUGAGUUGUAACAAGUUCUUUAUUUUCAAUAAGAUGUUUAUUAUAAAACUAAUAAACUACGUCUUUAUCCAGAUAAUGGUAUUCACACAACUUAGUUAUAGUUACAGAAGUCAUUUCAACUCGGAUCGUGCAAGCU